rnacentral:rRNA from 1 species
UACGAAGGGGGCUAGCGUUGCUCGGAAUGACUGGGCGUAAAGGGCGCGUAGGCGGAUGGCACAGUCAGAUGUGAAAUUCCCGGGCUUAACCUGGGGGCUGCAUUUGAUACGUGUUGUCUUGAGUUCGGAAGAGGGUCGUGGAAUUCCCAGUGUAGAGGUGAAAUUCGUAGAUAUUGGGAAGAACACCGGUGGCGAAGGCGGCUCUCUGGGACGGUACUGACGCUGAGACGCGAAAGCGUGGGGAGCGAAUGGG